rnacentral:rRNA from 1 species
AUUGAACGCUGGCGGCAGGCCUAACACAUGCAAGUCGAGCGGAUGAAGGGAGCUUGCUCCUGGAUUCAGCGGCGGACGGGUGAGUAAUGCCUAGGAAUCUGCCUGGUAGUGGGGGAUAACGUCCGGAAACGGGCGCUAAUACCGCAUACGUCCUGAGGGAGAAAGUGGGGGAUCUUCGGACCUCACGCUAUCAGAUGAGCCUAGGUCGGAUUAGCUAGUUGGUGGGGUAAAGGCCUACCAAGGCGACGAUCCGUAACUGGUCUGAGAGGAUGAUCAGUCACACGGGAAGAGAGACACGGUCCAGACUCCUACGGGAGGCAGCAGUGGGGAAUAUUGGACAAUGGGCGAAAGCCUGAUCCAGCCAUGCCGCGUGUGUGAAGAAGGUCUUCGGAUUGUAAAGCACUUUAAGUUGGGAGGAAGGGCAGUAAGUUAAUACCUUGCUGUUUUGACGUUACCAACAGAAUAAGCACCGGCUAACUUCGUG